AACGAACGCUGGCGGCAUGCCUAACACAUGCAAGUCGAACGAUGGUCUUCGGAUCAUAGUGGCGCACGGGUGCGUAACGCGGGGGAAUCUGCCCGUGGGUUCGGAAUAACAGUUGGAAACGACUGCUAAUACCGGAUGAUGUCGAUAAGACCAAAGAUUUAUCGCCCGAGGAUGAGCCGGCGUCGGUUGAGCUAGUGGGUGGGGUAAAGGCCUACCAAGGCGACGAUCCGUAGCUGGUCUGUGAGGAUGAUCAGCGACACUGGGACUGAGACACGGCCCAGACUCCUGCGGGAGGCGGCAAUGGUGAAGCAUGGACAGUGAGCGCGAGCCUGAGCCCGCACGGCCGCGAGAGUGAUGAAGGGCUUAGGGUUGUAUUGCUCUUUUACCCGGGAAGAUAUUGCCUGUACCGGGAGAAUAGGCCCCGGCAACCUCCUU
rnacentral:rRNA from 1 species